rnacentral:rRNA from 1 species
GACGAACGCUGGCGGCGUGCUUAACACAUGCAAGUCGAGCGGUAAGGCCCUUUCGGGGGUACACGAGCGGCGAACGGGUGAGUAACACGUGGGUGACCUGCCCUCAGCUCUGGGAUAAGCCUGGGAAACUGGGUCUAAUACUGGAUAUGACUCCACGGUGCAUGUCGUGGGGUGGAAAGCCUUGUGCGGCUGAGGAUGGGCCCGCGGCCUAUCAGCUUGUUGGUGGGGGAUGGCCUACCAAGGCGACGACGGUAGCCGGCCUGAGAGGGCGACCGGCCACACUGGGACUGAGACACGGCCCAGACUCCUACGGGAGGCAGCAGUGGGGAAUCUUGCGCAAUGGGCGAAAGCCUGACGCAGCGACGCCGCGUGGGGAAGAAGGCCUCGGUU